rnacentral:lncRNA from 1 species
AAGUUGAGAAAGAUGGAGGCGGGAUGGGAUGAGGAGAAAAUCUGAGAGAGUGUGUGACAUUCAUGGAUUCCCCAAGGAUGAAUAUAAGUGAUGUGAAAUGGAUACAAUAUCAAAUUAAAACUCACCUCUCUACCAUACCAGACACCUGAAAAUGUUUCUUAUAUUGGUAUAACAACAGAGAAUUUAAGAUGGCUUGUUUAUGCUAACAACAACAACAAUAACAAUCAUCUAUAUUGUUAUCACGGCGACAGUUAUAUUGUUAUCAAAGAGUCAUUAGAGACUUGGAUAGAAUGCCUUGCAGUGUUUUUUCUCUCCCUCUGCAUCUUGAGUUCAAAUCUCGUCAAGAUCAACUUUUCAUUCUUUUGGGGUCGAUUAUUAUUUGUAGGCCAUUUAAAUAGUCUUUUGUGUCACAAUUUAAUUUUUGCUUACACAAGCAUUGACAGUGACAAACAACUUUGCCAAUUUGCUACUUGAAUAAUGCUUUAUGUUUUCUACCAUACGCACACAAACGUUGAAAUUUUGGAGGAGGUGGAUAGUCAAUUACAUCAACCUCAGCACUCAAAUGGUACUUAUUUCCAGGGACCCAAGAAAGGAUAAAAUGCAAAGUUGACCUCAGUGAAAUUUGAACUCAGAACAUAAAGAGGGACAAAAUGCCUAUUUCUUUACUACCCACAAGGGGCUAAACACAGAGAGGACGAACAAGGACAGACAAACGGAUUAAGUCAAUUACAUCGACCACAGUGCGUAACUGGUACUUAAUUUAUCGACCCCGAAAGGAUGAAAGGCAAAGUCGACCUCGGUGGAAUUUGAACUCAGAACGUAACGGCAGACGAAAUACUGUUAAGCAUUUCGCCUGGCGUGCUAACGUUUCUGCCAGCUCACCACCAAUCAUUUUAUCUGCUGUACCAAUGAUACUUUCGGCUUGCCUCCUUCUAAAUAAUUCUUUUAAAUUUUAGUAGAAGGGCAAGCAAUUUUUAGGGGAAGGAGUAAGCCGAUUACAUCUACAUCAGUACCCAGCUGGUAUUUAUUUUAUCGACCUGAGAAGAAUCAAAGGUAAAGUCGACUUCAGCAGCAUUUGAACCCCAAAGGGAUAGAGCUGGAUGAAAUGCUGUCAAGCAUUUUCUCUAGCAUGCUAACAACUCUUCUCGCUCAUCAGCAUUUGCUGGUUUAAUAAUAUCAGUCGCUGUAGAAAACUCAGUAUGAAUCCAGUUUCAAACAAUGUUUUAGAAAUGAAAACAGUAAAAAAAAAACAGAACAAAAUGAAAAGAAAUAUUAAAAUUAGAAUUAGUUUAUUUUUCCCAUUUUAGUUGUAUUUCUUUUGCAUUGAACAAAGUGAACCAAGAUGAAAUUUUCUAGAAACCAGGAGAAACAAUAGCAACAACAACAACAGUUAUGAUUAAUAAUAAUAAUAAUAAUAAUAAUAAUAAUAAUAAUAAUAACGAUCGCUUAAUAACCAGGCUUUAAGCCCCCUUUUUUUUUUCUUUUAAUCAAGGUAAGUAGAGUUAAGAGCCUUAUCCAGAAACAUAAUGCAAUACUUGUAGCAGAAAUAUAAAAAAAGACAAAAAACAACAAAAACAAUAACCCAUCAGAUGAGUCUGAUAGCUUUUAUUUACACCUCAGUAAUAAUAAUAAUAAUAAUAAUAAUAAUAAUAAUAAUAAUAAUAAUAACAACAACAGCAACAAUAAUCAUGUAGAUGAUGAAGAUGAUGAUGACAAUGAUGAUGAUUUAAUGAAAGCAAGAAAAGCAAUAUUAUCAUUAUUAUUAUUAUUAUUAUUAUUAUUGUUAUUAUCAUCAAGGCAGUGGAGUGGCAGCAACAGUGGAGGUGACAGACUAAAUUCUAGCAUUCAGUUUCUAUCAUCUAUGCUCUGAUUUCAAAUUCCACCUGCUGGAGUUGACUUUGUUUAUCCUUGUGGGGAAUGGAUGGGGGAGGUGUAGGACGUGGUGGUGGGCGGGGGGUCAAUAAAAUAAGUACCAGUCAGACAUGUGGGGAAUAGAUUUACUCAUUUAUUAAUAGUCAUCAAUCAUCUAUCAAUAGUCAUCACCUGAAGAAAUUUUAGGGGCUUUGUUUCAAUGCAAUAAAUAAUAUUGUUAUUAUUAUCAUUAUUAUUAUUAUUAUUAUUAUUAUUAUUAUUAUUAUUAUUAUAAUUAUUAUAAUCAUCAUCAUCAUCGUCAUCAUUAUUAUUAUUGGUAAUAACAACAGCAAAAAUAAUACACAGGUAGUUAGUUACACAUGAGUAAAACACUGAGAUCUAGACUAGAGAAUGUUAGGAAACUGGAUUUUUUUCUAUUAAUUGUGAAAGUAGUCAGUAUCUUCAGAAGAACACGAAAUGAAAUUAAUGGCAUGGAUCAAGCCACAUGAAAUACUGUUUUAGUUAUUUAUCAUUAUUAUUAUUAUUAUGUGUGUGUGUAAUGAGAAGGUUUAUAGUUGUAUAUGUUAAUUAACCCUGAAAGAAUAAAACAAAUUUCAACCUUGGCAUGGUCUGAUCACUGAAAUUAGAGCCACUUAACUAAACACAAUGCUGUAUUUAGUGAUUUAGUGUGGUGCUCUACUAACUGUGCUACAUUAAAAUAAAUGAUAUCAAUUGAGGAAUAUAUGUACAAAUUUCCGUCUCCUAAUGUAUUUAAAAAAAAAAGAAAGAAAGAAAACAGUGGUUUACAUGUUAGGAUACUGGCCUGUGUAUCACAUAUGCCAAGUCUGCUACAGGUAUUUGUAGUAUGUCUUUGGAUAAAGUAUAAUACUCUACAAGCCAAAUUCUUCUGUUUAACUGGAGAAAGAAACAGUAUCAUUUCCACUAUAUAAAACAGCAGUUGGUGUGUGAAGAAAUUACAAAAAAAAAAAAAGAAAAAAAUUUAAAUGUUCUGUGAAAAUAUGAGAAAACAUGUAAAUAUUCUAACUUAACCAACUUAUUUUAAAACAUGAAAAGUAGUUUAUAAAAAGAAAAGGAAAGAAAAAUAACAAACAUUCAGUGCUCGAUACCAAUGUAUGUCACCUGUGAGUUUGGAAGCGGAUUCAAUUAAUAUUAACUUCUAUCACAUUUUUGGUACAAAUCUGCUUUUUUUUUUUCUAGUAAAGAAAACAAAUAGAAUUGUGUGAACACUAGCUUCAACAUGAGAACAUUUGUCAUCAGUAAACCAUCAAUGUUACUGUGUAAAUGAUACAUAUCAACUGAACAAACAAAAUAGUCAAUACUAGAAUGGAACAGAUUCUUAAAUAUGUAGGCAUUUUUCACACUGUAGGUGCAUCAUGUCACCAUAUGAGUUUUCUCCCCUGCAGUUGCAGGGCAGUGGCAGGGGAAACAAUUCUAGAGAAAAUGCAAUGUGCUAAAGGUUAAAAAAAUUAAAUAAAAAUAAAAAAAAACACAGGAUACAAGACCAUUGAAGAGAGUCUAAAGAAAUUUUUUUCCAGUUUUAUUUCUGUACUAAUUCUUGCAUAAAAUAAUUUUUUCCAUGAAGAUUUUUUUUUUAAUCUUCUAGAUCAAUUAUAAUAAAAUUGUGUAUUCUAUAUCAUCUUUACUACAGUACAUCAUGGCAACUAGUUUUGAAAUAAGAAUUACGGAUGAAAAAAAAAAAAAAAGUGACAUUUUCUGAAGGUUUAAUCAGAAAAGAAACAAUAAUCUUUUCACAUGAAACAAUUGUAUAUUUUCAGUAAAUAACAUUUGUUAGAAAGAACAUGCAAUAUUGCAGCUCAGUAUAAAUAUGUAUUUUUUUUUCUCAUUAUGAUAAAAGUGAUGAUAAUGAUGAAGAUGAUGGUGAUAAUGAUGAUUACAAAACAAGAAUCUUAAAGAAGCAAACAUUGAUUGUUUUGAUAGUGUAGACUAGACAAUUUAAUUAAUGAAUGCACGGAUUAAUUUGCUAUUUUCUCUACAAUGUUAAAUAUCUUUAAUAUGAUAAUAGCUGGAUGAAAGCCAGUUGGGCUUCAAAUACAUGGAUUAAAAAAAUAUGAUGUUUGCUUAAAUUGCAGACUAAUUUAUUUCUUAAUCUUGGAUAUUCAUCAUAGCAGUCACACUAUCCAUGAUGAACGACAAACAAUAAUUUAAAAUAAAUUCAAUCCCCAGAAUUACAGAGACAAAUAACUGUAAAUGAAUUCAUUGAAGCAGUACAGAAGUUAGGAACUAAAUGCAUGGGCAUCACAGAAGUGAUGACAAGGGACUAAGACUUCUGGUGGUUUGCUGUGCUUGAGAAGACAUGUCAAGCUAAGUAAGUUCAUGCCUGUCCAUGUAUAUAGGCAUGUCCUCUUCAUCCCUCUCUCAGCCAAGAGAUCCUAGUCUUGCAGGCUGUGGGUGCUGGUGCCACUUAAAAGUGCCUGUGCUGGUGUCAUAAAAGUAGCUGUGCCUGUGCCACUUUAAAAGUGCCCAUGCUGGUGCCACAUAAAAGCACCUGGUACACUCUGUGGUUGCUGUUGGGAAGAGCACCCAGCCAUAGAAACCAUGCCAAAACAGAUAUAUGGAAUCUGGGCAGCUAUCCAGUUGGCCAACUCCUGUCAAACUGCCCAACCCAUGCCAGCAUGGAGUAUGGAUGUUAAAA